UCUGACAUGAGAGUUCUGGAGAUCAAACUGAGGUAGUCAGGCUUGGCUACAGGUACCUUUCCUCUCUGAGUCAUCUUGCUGUUCAAAUUGGCUAGUUUUUUACAAUAACCAACACUUUAAGAAAUUGAUCUCAUAUAAUAUUAGAGAUUAUAUUGAUUUUUAAGAAUAUUCUGAACCAUAAUGAAAUUACAUGAUUGCUAAAAAUAUAAAACACUGUAAAAGUGAUCAUUUUAUACCAGUCUGAUCAACAAAAUAACCAGAAGGUGUCAUUUUACAUAAGCCUUGGAUUUCAUGAAAAUGGUAAAAAGUUGACUUUCAUACAAAAAUGGAAUGAGUAAGUGCUGAAGUUGUAACAGUGUGAAGAACCCAACAGGGCAUGAAAAGAGUUCAAAGUAGAAUUUUAAAAUGCAAAAUGUAUAUGAUCAGUCAGUAUACAAAAUAAAUGCUGACUUGAAAUCACAAAUCCAUUAAAAAUAAUAUCAUACCAGGCAAUAAAACUAUAUCAUUUGGGGUAGUCAUUUGAUCUAAGUAGAUACUUAUUAAUUAACAUGUAAUUUUAAAGCUUGGGACAGACUAUUUUAUACUACAUAACAAUUCUGACUCAUUUUAUAACAAACAACGUAUACUUUCCAAUUUAGGACUUUAGUUUCCUCAUGUGUAAAGUGUAUUUUUUUCUAAAAUCUCAUGAUUCUAUCGUAUACUUUUAGUAUGAAAAGAUAAUUCUAUGUAAUCCUAAGAAUGGAUAAAGGAAAAAAUGAAUUUACAGCUCUGGACACUGUAUAAGUUACUUUCCUUAUAUCACUGUUAUGAUUUCUACCUUAAAUACCUUAAAGGGGGAAGGGCUUGUUUUGACUUACAGUAUCGCAGUACCCAGCCCAUGGUCAACGGACUCCAUCUCCCAGAUCCUGUGGUAAAGCAGAAUAUCUUGACAUCAGGAGUGGAAAAAGAAGGAAGCCAUUGAACAGGAGGAGGAAGCCGAAUAGCAAGGACAAGAUGAGGAGCCAGGUAUAGCCUUCAAAGACCAGAAAUUGUGGUUGGCAUUGGUUACUCUUGGCAUCCAUAACUAACAAAAGAGGACCUUUAUGAUUGAUAUAAUUACUACAACAAUACCAAUGCCUGACAAGCAAAGCAUCAUUUGGAGGUUUACACAGGUAACAAUUCCAAUAAGGUAAAACAUCAUUGAUAGGGGGAAUAUUCCACAGCUGUGAUUUGCUUGUGCGGAAAGAGUACACUUACACACACACUAUUUGCCACUUGAUAAGAGAAGGAAAUAUCCUGGCUGUACACAUGUUAUUGUGAGUGUCUGAUCAUUUCUAGAUAAAUAGAGACUGACAUGGCUACUAUCAUAUAGUAAAAUAAAAGGCAACAAACAAAAAGAAGAUCACACUUUAAUUGUUUUGUCAAGCAUUUCCAGAAGUAUUGUCAUGAUCUCUAAUAGACCAGUAAAUCAAUGAGAGAAAGAAAAGCUUUAUUCACACUCCACGGCUAGAUAAGUGAAAGCCCACAAGAGUGAAAAGUGUGUUCAGGUUCUCAGAAGUAGUCAUCUAGAAACUGAUGUCUUGAUAAUCAGUACCAGAUAACAAACUACCACAUGGCCUCAUAAGCAUAAAAUACAAACAUCUUUUUGAUCAUAGACUGUGGAUGUUAGCUCACCAGCUCUAUCAACCUCAUUUUAUGUCAGUGAUACAUCUAGGGUCUUGCUGAAUAGCUAGGGACAGUCAGCUACAGUUGCUGAGGAGAACUGGAUCAAUACUAGACUCUAUCUUCCAGCUCAUGAGCUUAUAUGAGUUCUCAGUCCAGGGCACAGAACAAGACAAUGAGUAGAAACACACAAUUGCUUUUGUAAUCCUCCCAAAAUGUCCCACUCUUCAAGGCAUAUUGUGUUUUCACAUUCAUAACUCAUAAUAAAGAUGUGGUUAAGACAGACUUUUACCCACUAACACCUACUACUUGAAAUAUGAACCUGCGUUUUCAUAGACUAACCUAAUCUUUUUUUUUUUUUUUACUGUAAUGCACAAAUACAGUAUAGUCCCUAAAUGAAGCACAAAUUUCAAGAGAAAUAGCUGUCUCGUAAAAACUAAAAGUUCCUAGUGAUAUGUGUUAGACUGCAAUAUGGCGAGCAUUAGUUCUUUCAAAAUGUGCUUAUUUGUCACUGACUCUAAGCUAGGGGCAGUACUGAGAAGCUUGCUUUUUAGAAAUAAAUACAGCAGUCACUUAAACUUAACAGUAGAUGAUGAUGAUGACAAUGAUGAUGACGACGGUGAUGAUGUGUAUCUGUGUUUGCCUGCUUGUAUGUCUGUGCACUAGUGUGUACUUUUUGCUUUCAGAGGCCAGGAAAGGGCAUCAGAUCUUCAGGAAGUGGAGUUACAGGGAGUUAUGAGCUAUCAUGUAGGGGCUAGGAAUCAAACCAUGUCCUCUGCAAGAACUUAACUGCUGAGCUACUUCUCCAGCCUAAUGGUUCCCAUUGCAGAGAAGAGACACCAUAACCAAGGCAACUAUUAUAAGGACAACAUUUAAUUGCGACUGGCUUGUAGGUUCAGAGAUUCAGUCUAUUAUCAUCAAGGCAGGAAGCAUGACAGCAUCCAGGCAGGCAUGGUGCUGGAGAUUUGCUGAGAGUUCUACAUCUUGUCCCGAAGGGAAACAGGAAAAAGACUGGCAUCUUCAUGCAGCAAGAAGGAAGGAAGCUCAAAGCCCAUCCCCACAGUGACAGACUUCCUCCAACAAGGCCACAUCUACUCCAACAAGGUCCCACCUCGUAAUAGUGUCAAUUCCUGGGCCAAGCAUAUUCAAAACAUCACAGCUGUUGUCUUUAAUAAUUUGAAGGAUAAAAAGUUUCUUUUUUUUAAAACUAACUUUUAUACAAUAAAGCUUAAUUACAUCCAUGGGCCUCUUAACACAAAAGUCUGUUUUAUGAUAGACUGUUUCCACGCACAUACAAACGUCUCCUUUAAAGCUGAUUAGGCUCCUAUAGGGGAUAAAAACCUGGGUGAACUGGUGGCAUAAAUAAAGUCAAUUGUUGUUCCCUUACAAUGGCUCUCCAGCAGCAUGAAUUCUAUGUGCUUUCUUUGUUGGUUACCCUUUCAAUCAAAUUUGUAAGAAAUCAACCUGCCACACUUUCUAAAGGAUUCUCUUUUCCUAUAGAUAUGAAAGGGAAAAAUAUUCCUUUAGGGAUCAUUUGUUUUGGACAGAGGGCUGUACUUACCUUCAUAGAACUCACCUAUACCUUCAAGUGACAAUGGGUAGCCUACAUUUAGAUGACUCUUUCCUAUUUCAUCAUAUGAUUGUAACCUCAUGAGAACCUAUUCAACUUGAAACCACAAAAAACCUAAUGGCAUACAAUCACUCUCUCUAUGGGUUCUAUAUACUUGGAUUCAAACAACUGGAAACUGAACAUAUUUGGAAAAAUAUUGUCUCCGUAUUACAAAUGUAUAUAAUUUUGUUCAUUAUUUCCUAAGUUAUAUGGGAUAGCAAAUAUUUGCAUAGAGCUUACUCAGUAUCCGAU